ACGUCUUCCCGCAAAUUACAUCGAUGCCACCGCCAAGUCGCCGAACCAUCGAUCUUUUUCUCUAUUCUCUUUGUCUCCACGGGCGCCGCCCGCCGGACUCCACCGCCCAAGGCAACACCGAAGGACGAGAUCUCCACAGCUGCCGCCGCGCUCCCCGACCAGAUCUCCAUGGCUGCAAUCGUGCUCCCGGUCGAGGACAGCCCCGCCGCAACGUUCCCCGACUAACUCCACGCCCUGGGACCCGGCAAUAGGGCUACCACCCUGCACUGAGAGCUUCCGCGCAGCGGCCCCUCAUGGUCCUCGGCGACCUCCUCCUCAUCUGCGCGCCGCCACCACCGGCUUGCGCCGCCGCGUCAACAUCGCAACCCCACGUGAAGCACCACUCACCGUGCAGCCCGUCCGCCGACAUCCUCGUGCGCUGCGAGCACCACGCUGCGAGCCCGUCCGUCCACAUCCCGGGAACUCAACCGUCGCGCGCCUCCCGGGUACCAGCCCGCCUCUCCUUCGGUCGCUAUCCCUUGGCCGUCACCUCCUCCAGCCGAGCUCCACCGCCGUCCAGCAGCCAUCCGGCCGCACUUAGGGAUUUCCAAGUCCCAACUAUUGACCUCUCUGUUAGGGAUUUCCAAGUCCCAACUGCAUGUGUGCUCGCAAAGUAGUGUGUUCUCUUGCUGCUAAUUGGAGGAUUAAUAGUGUUCUCAACAAAGCUACCUGAUCGAUCUUCGUAUGCUUGGAUUGGUUUGUUAACGAAGAACUGAAGUACUAGCUUCUCACAGCUUAGUCUGGUGUUCACACCGCUUAUUAUUGUUGGUUUGAUGUCUAAUUUUGGUUGACUUGCUACUUGACUUUUGGUACUCAAUUCAGUGCAAAACCUGGAUUUGUACUUAGCAGCAGAUAAUGAAUAUCACCCGAUUCCAUAAUUGUUUGCUUUGAUUUUUCAGGGGUGGAGUUGUGCAUAAGAUACUCAAAAGGUCUGAAAAGGACUCAAAAGACUGGUACUCAAAAGGUCUGAAAAGAGGAAUACUACAAGAACAUGAUCUAUGGUCCUUCUGUUAACAUGAAAAGUACAUAUUUUUUGUGGAGAAUGAGGAGUGCAUCUUUUAAGGGCUUAUGACUUGCAGUUCUUCUAAAAUCAAAGAAUCUUUAAUAUUAAAAUGAAACCGGAUGAAGAACUCAGAGGCCGAUGGGGAAAGAACAUGAAGUUAUCUUUUAUAUAGUCCAUCCUGGAGGCUUCAUGAUUAUGGUACUAAGUAGGGUUGUUUACAUCUUAAUUAACAUUUGGCAUGCAGAUAUUAUUUCUUUAUAGCUUCCUUUGGAGACCAUGUUUUGUGGGUUAUAUUAUCAGAUAUUGACUGCACUUUCGAAUAUCAACUUAAUGUGUCUUGGAGUUGUAGUGGGCAAUACCUUUUUAUCCCGGCGAUGCUAUCUAUAUACACCGUAAUUUUCAGAAGGAAAACAUUGUUGUCUUCCGAGAAAGUAGAUUAUAGAGAGAAAAUCUUCAGAAGAAAUCUUUUUUAAAGGAUGUUUGGUGCUCAUCAAAAAAGACCAAAGAGAUGAUGUUUUGAUGCAUGUUUAUUUUGUUGCUCCGUUGCAACCCACAUGCAUUUCAUUUGAACUCCUUCUUGAUGAGACUACUACUAGCUUCUUCAGCUGAUGCUUCUCCAGGUCAGUUAAUUGUUUUGCUUCUACAACAUCUGGUAUGUGUUGGAGUGGUCACCUUGAGACUAGAGAGAGAGAGAGGGCGAAACAUUAUUUGAUCUAUUCCUGAAUUAUUGUUUGAGUAAAUAUGUCCUGUAAGAUUAUGCACAUCGAAGAUAAAUUUUAAUUCCUACUUUGAAAAUUAUGAGCAUCAGGCUGCCCUUAUCUAUGAUUUAGCUGACAUGGAUGUUUCUAUAUUUUUAAAUGGCUGACCAGUGACCCUUCUAAUUAGAUUUAAUCAAGCAUAGCGCUGCAAUACAAAUUAUGAACAGUUUGGUCAGGAUAUGGAAUUAUUUCAAUGCUCCAUUUUUUCAAUUUAAUGUACAGUUGGUCCAAACUAAAAGAUUAAAGUCUGAACUUCUGCUUGGCAUCUUUAGUUCUUAACAGAGAUGUGAAUUUACAUCUCUUGCCUUUUUUCAGGGUGUUAAACCGGAUGCACGGAAGGAGAGGCUAGGUUCAAACACAUCUGCUCGAAAUGUAUAAAUGUUUGUGUCUCGCUAUAGUUACCUGGAGGCAGAAUAUACAGAGCAAAAUAUCUUGACCCAGCUGUUUGGUCUUUAAGAGAUAACUAGCAUUCCUUUAAUUGAUGCCUUUAUAAUUUUUUUGUUCCAUAUCAACGCACGAGCUUUUAACUA